rnacentral:rRNA from 1 species
UCGUCUAUAUACGUAUAGCAUAUCAAUAAGCGGAGGAAAAGAAACUAACUAGGAUUCCCUCAGUAACGGCGAGUGAAGCGGGAAGAGCUCAAAUUUGAAAUCUUCAAGGUUCUACCUUGACGAAUUGUAGUUUAAAGAAGUGUUUUCUGUUGGAGUUUUGGUAAAAGUUCUUUGGAAUAGGACAUCAUAGAGGGUGAGAAUCCCGUAUUUGACCAUUAUUUCCAACUUUGUGAUACACUUUCAAAGAGUCGGAUUGUUUGGGAAUGCAGUCCAAAAUGGGUGGUAAAUUUCAUCUAAAGCUAAAUACUGGCGAGAGACCGAUAGCGAACAAGUACCGUGAGGGAAAGAUGAAAAGAACUUUGAAAAGAGAGUUAAACAGUACGUGAAAUUGUCAAAAGGGAAGCGUUUGACACCAGUGUUGUUUUCUCGAAAAUCAAUUAAAAAUGGCAGGAUUUUGUGUUGUAUUGACUUUAUCAGCUUUCUGCACUUUUUUCUUGUCUUUUUUAAUGCACUUUUCGUUUAACAAGUCAACAUCAAUUUCUUUUGCUGUAAAAGGGUCAUUGGAAGGUGGCUUUCUUUUCGGAGAAAGUGUUUAUAGCCUUUGACUUCUGCAAGUCGGAGAGAUUGAGGUCUGCAGCGUAGAUCCUUCGGGGUUAGAUAGCAUUUGUGCUAAGUUAUAGCCUUUCAUAGACAACUUGUUGACUAUGAUCAGUCAUGUAGCUUACUCGCUUAUGCUAUUUUACCUACGCUUAGGAUGUUGAUCUGUAGUGCGUGCGC